rnacentral:tRNA from 2 species
GCCGAAGUGGCGGAAUUGGUAGACGCGCACGACUCAAAAUCGUGUCUCGCAAGAGGUGAGAGUUCGAUUCUCUCCUUCGGCA